GAUGAACGCUAGCUACAGGCUUAACACAUGCAAGUCGAGGGACCGGCGCACGGGUGAGUAACACGUAUCCAACCUGCCCUUUACUCGGGGAUAGCCUUUCGAAAGAAAGAUUAAUACCCGAUGGAAAGGAUGGGGAUGCGUUCCAUUAGGUUGUUGGUGAGGUAACGGCGCAUCAAGCCUUCGAUGGAUAGGGGUUCUGAGAGGAAGGUCCCCCACAUUGUAGCUGAGACACGGUCCAAGCUCCUACGAGAGGCAGCAGUGAGGAAUAUUGGUGAAUGGGCGUUAGCCUGAACCAGCCAAGUAGCGUGAAGGAUGAAGGCUUAUGGGUCGUAAACUUCUUUUAUAUAAGAAUAUGUAUUUUAUGAAUAAGGAUCGGCUAACUCCGUGCCAGCAGCCGCGGUAAUAC
rnacentral:rRNA from 1 species